rnacentral:lncRNA from 1 species
ACAGUUAUCGUGAGCGUGCGGCAAAGAACAACUCCACUGGCCGCUGUAUUAGGAAGUGUGCUUACGUUUCAUUGUGGUUCUAUAUUUUGCAAGACAACUGCCAGGUUAACGGACUUCCAGGAAUGAGCCACUGCAGGGGAUCAGAGUUUGGGCUGGUCAUCUUUGGAGGAUCUGGCCGGGUGGCUGUACCAGCCCAGGGUGUCGACAUCCCACUUUGCAACAGUACAGUGCUAUCAGUGCUGACGUGACUUCAGAAACCCAGUAGGCCAGCCAGAUGUCAGUGAGAUUCCUUGAACCCUGCAUCAAAAUGAAUGAGAAGAAGAUUGCUGCUGAGAGGAUCCCACCAACUGCUGUGGC